UGCAGACGGGCCAAUCUAACAUCUGAAGAAAUGAAACUCGUAAGCAGUGUUAACUGCAGCACAGGCUACGAUCCAGCGAAGGACAAUGGCACAACCACCCGGUACUACUACAACAGUACUUCAAAUGAAUGCGCUAGUGCACAGGUCAAGGAUGCUGAUAAGUAUUUUCCAGGAAGGGAUUACUGCGAGCAAAAAUGCAAUGCAACUAGGAACCCCCUUCCACAGUGCACGGAGGCAAAAAAUAAUGGCACAGCACCACCUGGAUGGACGUGUUCUGUUAAUGAAACUGUUAGCUAUACCUUCUGCAAGAAUACUAC